rnacentral:lncRNA from 1 species
GGAAAAUGACAAUGAGAAUGAUGGUCGUAGUAUGAGCGUAGUCAGGUCGUAAGAAGAGCGUGAUGAGGACGACAAGGGCGUGCUAGAAUCGUACUAUGGUCGUGAACAGCGUGGUAUAGUCGUAGUGGAAGCGUAGUUGGAUCGCAGUGAGAACGUGAUGGUCGUAGUGAGGUCUUAAUAACAUCGCAAUGAGAUCGUAGCGCAGUUUCUCCGAAUAGAAUCACGCUUUCGCUACGCUCUCACUACGAUGGUACAGCGACCUUUGCGAUCUUACUACGAUCUUAGUGCGCUCUCACUACGCUUCUACUACGACCUGAUUUCACCACGACCGCACCACGAUUGUUUUGAACAUGUUCAAAGUUUGCCACGCUCGUCACGAUCACGACGACCUCACCACG